AUCAGUAGUCCAUCAGGCUAAGUUCUAUAGUAAAGAAUGUUCAUGUGACAAAGUAAUGGUCAUUUGGGGUAUGGGGAGUGUCACGUCUGUAGAGGUUACUUCUUUUUGUCUCUGAAAGCUGCCAUUUCUAGCCAGACCUAUUGAGUGGACUUAAGUGUUCAGGCCCCAGACUCUGCCUAAAUCAAGAUUUAAGACUUGCCUUCUGGCCAGUUACACAGUUUAGCCCCAGGCCUUUGAUGUCUCCACUGGAAUACACACCUUGUUCACUGAGGGCACAACCCCCAAGGGAUACCCCAUCACUGGGGCCUGAACCUCAUGCCUUACACGUGCUAGAUAACCGGCUGCCAGUAAGCUUUUGAAAUCCGAGAUGGGAUCUCUAUAAAUUGCCCAUGCUGGCUUCAAGAUUUCCAUCCCAGCCUCAGCUGAAAUUAUAAAGGUUUGAGUCACCACACCCAGCUCUUAAGGUCUUUUAAAACUACAUUUAACUGAAGGGCUUGGUGCCUUUUGAUUAUAGCACCUUGCUUAGCAUAAACAGCCAUUUUUGAGAACAGGGUUUCCCUUUUCCCAAGACUGUUGACCAGCAAGACUCUAAGGAAUACUUCAUGAUCAGAAUGUCCCAUAACCCUGGAGUUUGCUUUAUGUAAUCAGUUAAUUUGGCACAUGUAAAUGUCUAUGCAGCUUCCUCAGAGAUCCAGAUCUCAAAAUAAAGACUUAACUUUCUGAACUCUCAGGAUACGUGCGUGCGUGCCAACAAUAGUAAUUCUCUGACUUAGAAGCUCAUCGAUUUUUAAUCAUGGAAAUCUCUCUCACUGAUAGAAAGCAGCAUCUUCCCCAAGUCCCACUCUUCUGGGAAGACCCUUGGUUUCAGGGGAGUACGAUGGAGGCUUCCUUUUCUCAUCAUCAGUGCUGUGUGGUCUGCUCUGCCAUGUUGUAGAAAGUACUGGGAUGAUAAACCCACUUGCUAUGGCUGUUGUAUCUGAGAAGGAAACAAUUAGGUAGUUGAGGGCUUUAAGGGCUAGUUAGUCCUGGGUGACAGCCCCCCACCUCCACCUCCAACCCCAUACAGAAGGCAUGCUUGUCACUCUGCACUGCUCUGAUGCCACCUGUUUCGAGGUUGACAGGGUGUCCUGGCUUUUGUCAUCCAGACGUAACCCUCUGUGCUCACUGGAAGAGACUCUGCCCUCUUUUCAAGUUGCACGAUCCUGGCACUGUGCCAGCCUUCCUCUACAGCUGUUUACAGACAAGAUGGGCCAAGACUGAUGGCCACUGCUCUUGUAACCUUUACUCAAAAGAAUAAUGAGCAUUUAAAAAAAAAAAAAGGGAUGAUGUGUUUUUGUUCCAGGUGUUCAUAAUUUAAUCUUUUAAUAUUAUGUUCAUUAACCUCUUAAAAUGAGUGAAUUCUUGAUUGUUUUAACACAGUACCUAAGACUAAUGCUUUCUGUGGACUCCUCACUCUGGAACCAGUGAACCCCUCCCUGGUUAACUGCUGUGAGCGUGGACGCUGAGCUGCUUGUAUAUUCUGAAGGAGCAGGAGGACAGUUCUGAGACAGGAGGACAGUGGCCUUGCUUCUAGACGGUCUUCACUGUGUGUUUUAAAAUGACAUAAAACUCUUUUGACGUGUAUAACUUAAAGAACAUAAGCAUCAGGCAAUAAUAUUUUCUGUGUAAGCUUUUAAAAUUAUUUUUGGGGAUCAUAGCUUGUUUUAUUUUGUGCUAUAAAAUUAACAGUAUUAAAUGACUUAUAUUCUUAGAAUACAUUGAGUGUCUUUUCUUAACAGAUUAGUGCCUUUUUAUUUUUGUAUUCCAUUUUGCGUUACUGGUCCCAGCAUCAAAACCCUUGUUUCCAUGGCCUGUUUGUACAUUGUCUCAAUAAAACUUGCACCAGCCGGCGUGGCAGCAGC
rnacentral:lncRNA from 1 species